CGAACCGUCCAAACGUUACUCGGAAUCACUGGGCUUAAAGGGCGCGUAGGCGGCCGAGCGGGUCGCGGGUGAAAUCCUCCAGCUUGACUGGAGAACUGCCCUCGAUACCACUGCGGCUCGAGGAAGGAAGGGGCAAUCGGAACUGUCGGUGGAGCGGUGAAAUGCGUUGAUAUCGACAGGAACGCCGGUGGCGAAAGCGGAUUGCUGGUCCUUUUCUGACGCUGAGGCGCGAAAGCCAGGGGAGCAAACGGGAUUAGAUACCCCGGUAGUCCUGGCCUUAAACGAUGAGAACUAGGUAGUGGGUCCGACCUGGGCACACUGCCGAAGCGAAAGUCUUAAGUUCUCCGCCUGGGGAGUAUGGUCGCAAGGCUG
rnacentral:rRNA from 1 species